GGGGGCGCUCGGUUUCGACUUUUUCGAACGUGCGUCUGUGGCAAGCCGAGGACUGAACUGGUUGGCCUCGUUAAUCAUCCGGUUCGACUAUUAACUGCUAACGAAGAGUUGGCUCUCGCGGCCUAAGCGCCGUGACGUCUGGUGCCUGACCCCUGCUGGGGAGCCAAGACGCUAUUAGCAGGGCUGUCCGUCAAGUGAGCCGCCGGCUGACGGAGUGAAUUGACGCGGAGGCUAAGGUCACGGCGCGAGUGGUUGCGCCAACCGCGACCCGACACCCAAGCGACCACUAAGCUUGUAGAGGCAGGCGUUCUCUCGAUUAAGGACGUGGGUUCGAGUCCCACCGCCUCCAUUC
rnacentral:tmRNA from 1 species